UAAGUGGCGCACGGGUGAAUAAUGUAUAGGUAAUAUGCCUCUUACUAAGGGAUAACAAAUGGAAACGUUUGCUAAUACCUUAUACUCCUUAUUAACAGAAGUUAAUAAGGGAAAGAUUUAUUGGUAAGACAUUAGCCUGUAUUGUAUCCGUUAGUUGGUGGGGUAAUGGCUUACCAAGACUAUGACACAUAACUGGUUUGAGAGGAUGAUCAGUCACACUGGAACUGAGACACGGUCCAGACUCCUACGGGAGGCAGCAUUGGGGAAUAUUGCACAAUGGACGAAAGUCUGAUGCAGCAACGCCGCGUGGAGGAUGACACAUUUCGUGCGUAAACUCCUUUUAUAUAAAAAGAUAAUGACGGUCUUAUAUGAAUAAUCCCCGGCUAACUCCGUGCCAGCACCCGCGGUAAUACGGGGGGUGCAAGCGUUACUCGGAAUCCCUGGGCGUAAAGAGCAUGUAGGCGGAUUAUUAAGUUUGAAGUGAAAUCCUAUAGCUUAACUAUAGAACUGCUUUGAAAACUGUUGAUCUAGAAUGUGGGAGAGGUAGAUGGAAUUUCUGGUGUAGGGGUUAAUUCCGUAGAGAUCAGAAGGAAUACCGAUUGCGAAGGCGAUUUACUGGAACACAAUUGACGCUGACAUCGAAAGCGUGGGGAGCAAACAGGAUUAGAUACCCUGGUAGUCCACGCCCUAAACGAUGUACACUAGUUGUUGUGAGACUAGAUCUUGCAGUAAUGCAGUUAACACUUAAGUGUACCGCCUGGGGAGUACGGUCGCAAGAUUAAAACUCAAAGGAAUAGACGGGGACCCGCACAGCGGUGGAGCAUGUGGUUUAAUUCGACGAUACACGAAGAACCUUACCUGGACUUGACAUAGUAGAACUUUCUAGAGAUAGAUUGGUGUCUGCUUGCAGAAACUUAUAUACAGGUGCUGCACGGCUGUCUCAGCCUGUAUAGGGGGGGGAAAAAAAAAAAAAAAA
rnacentral:rRNA from 2 species